rnacentral:rRNA from 1 species
AUACGGAGGGUGCAAGCGUUAAUCGGAAUUACUGGGCGUAAAGCGUACGUAGGCGGUUUGUUAAGUUAGAUGUGAAAGCCCCGGGCUUAACCUGGGAACUGCAUUUAAAACUGGCGAACUAGAGUUGAGUAGAGGGGAGUGGAAUUUCAGGUGUAGCGGUGAAAUGCGUAGAGAUCUGAAGGAACACCAGUGGCGAAGGCGACUCCCUGGACUCAAACUGACGCUGAGGUACGAAAGCGUGGGUAGCAAACGGGAUUAGAAACCCUAGUAGUCC